CUCUGCAGGUAUAGUCUAUUUGAAUGAGAGACCGGCUGAGAUAGCAAAAGUAAAGAGUGUGUGAGAGAAGCGGCUGUUAACUUCUUUUAUGAAAUACAGAAGGCAACUUUUGGAAUGUCUGAAUGUUCCUAUUUCAUGUUAGAUGGAAACCUGGAGGACAUAAUUUCAGAGAAUAGAGGAAGCAGGGGAUGAAGAAGUCUUUGAGGAGCUCUAGGAAAGUUGAUAUGGUUUAUUCCUUUGGGAUCAGGAUUUCAACUGCCUGUUUUUGGAAUGCCAGUCCUAGUACUAUUUCCUAUAGUAUAUUUUCCCUUAGUUAUGACAGAUGAAUGUUCAUUUUGUUAUAUUUUCCUUGAGUGAGGCACAAUCUGCAUUAAGAAAUGUAUACGUGCUUCAUA